GACGAACGCUGGCGGCGUGCUUAACACAUGCAAGUCGAACGGGAUUUAGUAGACAGAAGCCUCGGCUAAAGAUUACUAAUGAGAGUGGCGAACGGGUGAGUAACGCGUGAGCAACCUGCCUAUGACAGUGGGAUAGCCUCGGGAAACCGGGAUUAAUACCGCAUAAAAUCGUAGAAACACAUGUUUCAACGGUCAAAGAUUUAUCGGACAUAGAUGGGCUCGCGUCUGAUUAGCUAGUUGGUGAGAUAACAGCCCACCAAGGCGACGAUCAGUAGCCGGUCUGAGAGGAUGAACGGCCACAUUGGAACUGAGACACGGUCCAAACUCCUACGGGAGGCAGCAGUGGGGAAUAUUGCACAAUGGGGGAAACCCUGAUGCAGCGACGCCGCGUGAACGAAGAAGGUAUUCGUAUCGUAAAGUUCUGUCCUAUGGGAAGAUAAUGACAGUACCAUAGAAGAAAGCUCCGGCUAAAUACGUG
rnacentral:rRNA from 1 species